GGGAGAGCAGAGCAGGGUUUC
rnacentral:miRNA from 15 species